rnacentral:rRNA from 1 species
GUCCACGCCGUAAACGAUGUCAACUAGCCGUUGGGAGUCUUGAACUUUUAGUGGCGCAGCUAACGCAUUAAGUUGACCGCCUGGGGAGUACGGCCGCAAGGUUAAAACUCAAAUGAAUUGACGGGGGCCCGCACAAGCGGUGGAGCAUGUGGUUUAAUUCGAAGCAACGCGAAGAACCUUACCUGGCCUUGACAUGCUGAGAACUUUCUAGAGAUAGAUUGGUGCCUUCGGGAACUCAGACACAGGUGCUGCAUGGCUGUCGU